rnacentral:rRNA from 1 species
AGGGUUUGAUUAUGGCUCAGGACGAACGCUGGCGGCGUGCCUAACACAUGCAAGUCGAGCGGGGAACAUUGAAAGCUUGCUUUUGGUGUUUCUAGCGGCGGACGGGUGAGUAACGCGUGAGCAAUCUGUCUCAGACAGGGGGAUAACGCAGCGAAAGUUGCACUAAUACCGCAUAAGACCACAGAGCCACAUGGCACAGGGGUCAAAGGAGCAAUCCGGUCUGAGGUGAGCUCGCGUCCCAUUAGGUAGUUGGUGAGGUAACGGCCCACCAAGCCUGCGAUGGGUAGCCGACCUGAGAGGGUGAUCGGCCACACUGGAACUGAGACACGGUCCAG